rnacentral:rRNA from 1 species
AACGAACGCUGGCGGCAGGCUUAACACAUGCAAGUCGAACGGUUGUAGCAAUACAGCAGUGGCGCACGGGUGAGUAACGCGUGGGAACGUACCUUUUAGUUCGGAAUAACCAUUGGAAACGAUGGCUAAUACUGGAUACGCCCUUCGGGGGAAAGAUUUCUCGCUAAAAGAUCGGCCCGCGUAAGAUUAGGUAGUUGGUGGGGUAAUGGCCUACCAAGCCUACGAUCUUUAGCUGGACUGAGGGGAUGAUCAGCCACACUGGAACUGAGACACGGUCCAGACGCCUACGGGGUGCAGCAGUGGGGAAUAUUGGACAAUGGGCGAAAGCCUGAUCCAGCCAUGCCGCGGGGGUGAUGAAGGCCUUAGGGUUGUAAAGCUCUUUUGUCAGGGAAGAUAAUGACGGUACCUGAAGAAUAAGCACCGGCUAACUUCGUGCCAGCAGCCGCGGUAA